rnacentral:misc_RNA from 1 species
CGUUGAUAUUUGAAUGCACGACAAUGAUAUGUGAAUGAUGAUGGUGURCACGUCGGUUUAAUUACCCAAGUUUGAGGUAAUUGAAUGUUUCGGCCCAGUGUUUCAGCUACUGUGGCUUGAAGUAAAAUUUUGGAACGUCCUACAAAUUUGUGGGACAACAA